GAGGCACACGCGUACCGCCGAGGUUCGGCCUCGAUCACGAGAACGUCGCAUCUUAGUUACAUUUCCAUAUGAUGAGAUAUUCACGUCGUCGAAACCGUGUCUCGGCUUGGCCACCAAUCGCAAG
rnacentral:precursor_RNA from 15 species